AGGACUAACGCUGGCGGCGUGCCUAGCACAUGCAAGUCGAACGAGGUAGCAAUACCUAGUGGCAGACGGGUGAGUAACACGUAGUCAACCUUCCCGAUAGUGGGGGAUAACUAGCCGAAAGGUUAGCUAAUACCGCAUACGAUCUUCGAGUGGCAUCAUUUGAAGAUGAAAGGAGCAAUCCGCUUUCGGACGGGACUGCGUCCCAUUAGCUAGAUGGUGGGGUAAUGGCCUACCAUGGCAACGAUGGGUAGCUGGUUUGAGAGAGCGACCAGCCACACUGGGACUGAGAAACGGCCCAGACUCCUACGGGAGGCAGCAGUGAGGAAUUUUCCGCAAUGGGCGAAAGCCUGACGGAGCGACGCCGCGUGUGGGAAGAAGGCCUUCGGGUCGUAAACCACUGUCGAAGGGGAAAAUACUGAUGGUACCCUUGGAGGAAGCCCCGGCUAACUACGCGCCAGCAGCCGC
rnacentral:rRNA from 1 species